CAGAGCGUGAGACUCGGCCCGGGCGUGUCCCGCGUGUCGAGUCGACCCUCCACCCGUGUUGACUUUAUCUGUUGCUUUGGCGGACCAGGUGCCUGGCGCCGACCGGCUUCGUGCUGGCUCGUGUCCGCCAAAGACCCAACCUAACUCGUGUUGUCGUGUAGUCUGAGGAAGAAAUAUUGAAUUGUUA
rnacentral:misc_RNA from 1 species